AACGGAUGUAAGUGCUGUGAAGAGAGUGAAACAGGAUGUGUUGGAGAGCUAUGGGUUGGCUGCCCUGAGCAGAAUCUGCCUGCCAAUACAGGGGACGCGGGUUCCAUCCCUGGCCUGGGAAGAUCCCACAUGCCUCGAAGCAACUAAGCCCGUGCACCACAACUACUGAGCCUGAGCUCUAGAGCCUGUGAGCCACAACUACUGAGCCCACAUGCCACAACUACUGAAGACCGCGUGCCUAGAGCCCAUGCACUACGACAAGAGAAGCCAAGGCAAUGAGAAGCCCGCACACCUCAACGAAGAGUAGCCCCCACUCACCACAACUAGAGAAAGUCUGCACACAGCAACGAAGACCCAACACUGCCAUUAAGUAGCAAAAAUGGAAGUUUUAUUGAAAAGAUACAUGAGAAUCUCACCGAAUCCAAGGCUGCAUAUGUGAUCGUGCUUUCUGGACGCAGGCAAUGAGUUCGAUAUAUUUGGGUAAAAUGAGAGCUGUCUACUGGCCAGAGAGACUUGAGACCUUGGUUGAGACCUGGAUUGAAAGAGAAGAAAUACGUCCUCACAAAAUUGAUAACUGGAGGAAAUGCAUGCUGCACAGCUGAUACUCAGCCUGGAUGGGUGGAUACCCUCUCCUGUUCAUGCUGGCCUGGAGACCCACCUGAGUGAGCAGGGCACCGGAGUGAUGCAUCAGUUAAUGUUCCUUCAUUCCUGUCACCCUUGAUGCCAGUAUGUUUUAUGAAACAUAGUCAGUUCUGUCAAUUUAAUUAUACAAAUACUUAUUCGUAUUUGUUCAACACCUACUAAUCAGAUGCAAUUCUGAAUUCAAUAAAAAAUAUCCCAUGGAUUUUAGACAUAUCCAGAAUAAUUCAUGGUACAAGCUGUAACAGAGUUCUAU